UCCUACGGGCGGCAGCAGUGGGGAAUAUUGCGCAAUGGGCGAAAGCCUGACGCAGCAACGCCGCGUGCGGGAUGAAGGCCUUCGGGUUGUAAACCGCUUUCAGCAGGGAAGAAGCGAAAGUGACGGUACCUGCAGAAGAAGCACCGGCUAACUACGUGCCAGCAGCCGCGGUAAUACGUAGGGUGCAAGCGUUGUCCGGAUUUAUUGGGCGUAAAGAGCUCGUAGGCGGUUAGUCACGUCGGAUGUGAAAACCCGGAGCUUAACUCCGGGCCUGCAUUCGAUACGGGCUGACUCGAGUGUUGUAGGGGAGACUGGAACUCCAGGUGUAGCGGUGAAAUGCGCAGAUAUCAGGAAGAACACCGGUGGCGAAGGCGGGUCUCUGGGCAACUACUGACGCUGAGGAGCGAAAGCGUGGGGAGCAAACAGGAUUAGAUACCCUGGUAGUCCACGCCGUAAACGGUGGGCGCUAGGUGUGGGGAACAUUCCACGGUUUCUGCGACGUAGCAAACGCAUUAAGUGCCCCGCCUGGGGAGUACGGCCGCAAGGCUAAAACUCAAAGGAAUUGACGG
rnacentral:rRNA from 1 species